GACGAACGCUGGCGGCAUGCCUAAUACAUGCAAGUCGCGCGAACAGAUGAAGUGCUUGCACUUCUGACGUUAGCGGCGAACGGGUGAGUAACACGUAAGGAACCUACCUAUAAGCGGGGGAUAACACUCGGAAACGGGUGCUCAUACCGCAUCAUAUCUUCUUCCGCAUGGAAGAAGCUUGAAAGACGGCCCUGCUGUCACUCAUAGAUGCCCUUGCGGUGCAUUAGUUAGUUGGUGGGGUAAUGGCCUACCAAGACGAUGAUGCGUGGCCGACCUGAGAGGGUGAUCGGCCACAUUGGGACUGAGACACGGCCCAAACUCCUACGGGGGGCAGCAGUAGGGAAUCUUCCGCAAUGGGCGAAAGCCUGACGGAGCAAUGCCGCGUGAGUGAAGAGGCCUUCGGGUCGUAAAACUCUGUUAUAAGGGAAGAACAAAUUGUAGAGUAACUGCUACAGUCUUGACGGUAUCUUAUCAGAAAGCCACGGCUAACUACGUGCCAGCCGCCGCAGUAA
rnacentral:rRNA from 1 species